UUGUAGAAUUAUUAGGAAAAAAUAUAUAUAUGUUCAUUCUUUGUAAAAAUGUUAGAAGACUUGCAAGUUACCGACUUUAUCAUUGCAUUUAUUUAUUAUUGAAAAAAUGCUGAACAGCUAGUCUCAACAGUGUUUAUAGGCUAGAAUUUUCAGUUUGCAUUAGGGCCAAAAUUAUUAAAUAUAUUUUUAGUCAUGACGGCUUUCCCAUUGCUGUCAUCAAACUUUAACCUUGUUCAUAACUUUUUCAGAUCUUGGUGUAUUGUCUUCAUACUUGGCCACAACAACCCUUCAAAUAGACCAGACUAAACUAAAUUAACUUGACCACCAUAUUAACAUUCAAGUUCGGCCUACAUGUCAGAUUUAUGAAUGUGAACAGCAGGAUAUCGAUUUUAAGGAUGCUUUAGGGUCAAUGACAAUGAAAUCACGAGAGAUAAAGGCUAAAAUGUGAGACUGUCAAUCUGACUAACCUUGAAGUGAACAAAUGGAAAAAAUGUUUCUUUCAAUAGCAUGGGCUUUUAAGGAAGAGGAAACAGAGGCGCUUAUAUGAUAGAACAGUAAAAGCAGGAGUGAUAAGGAAAGAUACAUGUAGAUGUGUCUUCAUGUCGGAAACACUAAAGAAAUAGAAAUAUUGUGGUUUUAUAAAACUUAAAAGAAAUUGGAAUACCAGGAGACUGCCUGCCCUUUGCAAUGUUGGAUAAUGAGUUCUUAGAUGUGAUGUCAAA